CGCUUCCUACAUACACCCAGGCACUACUAGUCUACCUUCUGGAACUUACAGUGUCAAAACAAUUUUUAAAUUUUAUUCAUAAUAUAUAGAUACAGUGCUGUAAAUGCUAGGUGUUACAGGCAUUUUUCAAACAUUAACUCCUUUAGUACUCCCCAUGGCCUUACAAAGUAGGUACGCUUAUCAUUACUGUCAACUGACAGAUGAAGAAACUGAGGUACCAACAAGGUAAGUAACUUGAUCAAUACAAAUAACCAGUAAGCGAUUGAGUUGGAGUUUGAACAUAAGAUGUCGGCUCAUAUUCUAUGCUCUUAACCAUGAUAUUUAAUCUCUAAAGACUUCACAUCAUGAAAAAAUUGGAUCAAUUUAUCCAUUUUCUUGAUAUAUCCCAUAGCCACACUAUUUUGUCUGAAUAAUACCUAUAGAGAAACUAUUGUACAUACACACCCAAAUUACUUCUGCCAGCAUCCCCACUUCCUAAAAGUUAAUACAGAGAACAUUUCAAAACAUUUCUUGUCCUGGCUGGGAGGACUCUGAGAAAAUCUCAUUGUUCAUCUAAUUAGCCAAGGGCUGGCUGGGAGUUGGGUCUCAGGGGAAAGGUGACCUCAGGAGAACCACUGAAUUACCAAAUUGCUGGGAGGAUCUCAGCAGUAACUGAAUUCAGGAUCUGGUGGUGUUUCAACCUGGGUGCCUGGUGUAACCAGGAUUUGCAUCUGCUUCAGACAAAGCAGACAGCCCUUCCUCAUGGACUCAACUUUAUCUAAAUGUGAUCAAGACAAAAGAAAUAAUGUCAUGCACCUCUGGAUGUGAGACUGUGCUGGGAGGUUCUGAAAGGCCUCACUGAGGUGAUUAUUUGCUGUAGCCAGAAUGACAAGUGUAAGCCACCCUUGCCUAUAUCUGGGAACAGUUAGCAUGUCAGGGAGAAGGUACCCCUGGUGCAGAGAUUCACAGGAAGAAGUGAGUUUGACCAGAGGAGGUCAGAAAGGUGGCAGGUGUGGCUGGAGGGAGCCUGAGAAGAGAGAGGAGGGUGAGAGGGCCAGAUCGUGGGACAUGGUGGACUGUGUUAGUUUCUGUUCCUCUAUGACAACAUUGCUCCAAAACCUUCCACCCAUAAGGAACAAACAGUUAACAUCCUGCACUUUCUGUGGGCCAGGCAUCAGGCAGAGCUUAGCUGGGUGCCUCAGCUUCAAAUUCUCUAUGAAGCAGGGGCUGCAGUCUCAACAGGGCUCAACUGGGGGAGGACUCCCACCCAAGAUCGCUGACAUGGGUGUUGUCAGGAUUCAUCUGGACUGAGAGUCUGAGUUCCUGCCUGUCUGUUGGCUGGGCACCCCCUCAGUUCUCUCCUAUGGAGCCUCUACACAGGGCAACUGAAAGCAUCGGUGCUUGCUCUCUCAGUUCCAGAGAUAAGACAGAGAGAGAGCUGCAAACAGGAGAGGAGGAGGGAACCCAAGAAUGCCUGUAAGAAGGAAGUGACAGGCUCUUCGUAAUUAAAACUUGGAAGUGACAUCCCAUCACCUUGGGGCAUUCUGUUGAUCAGAAGCCAGUUACUAACCACUUAGCUGUCACAUAAGGACGUGCACUCCAGGAGGCAGGGAGCACUGGGAGCCAUUGUGGAGGCUGCCCCACACACAGGCCGACAUGAGGCACUUGGGUCUGAUUCUAAGUAAAACAGGAGACCAUGGGAAACUUUUGCCAGUGGAUCACAAUAUAUGAAUUUCUUCUAAUUUCAACCCCUGAAAAGUGCAGACCUGAAAAUGAGGCCCAGGGGGGCAGUGACUGUCCCAAUCUUCCAUCUUCCAUCUCUAAGUUUCUGUAUCAGACACAUGUGACUCUAACCCACAGAAGUUAUAGGUAUUGUCACAUACACACCUGAUGAUGUGCCUAGGAAAUUGGUUUUAGCACCAUCUCCACUGUGCAGGUUGGGAGACUGGGGAGGCCAUGAGAGGCACAAAUGGCUUUUCCAGGACUCAGAAUUGGUAGGAAAAAAGAGGUCUGAACUCAGCUGUGUCUCCUCAAAGCUAGGGCCCUGGUCCCAUUCCCAGAGCGCUGUGGGGAGGGCAGUGAUGGAUAUUUGUGUACAAUUAUGGAGAUGACAUGGGCAAGGGCGAUGAGCAGUCAACAGCCCAGAGGAGGCUUUGGGUGGGUCUGAUUGAAGGAAGGGGCCCAGAUAAUGGAACCUUGAGAAGUGGCCUCACUUCUUUGGUGACAGACCCCAACAGAACUUAGAACUUUGGUUACCAGGCACCCACAUUCUAGACACAGCCUCACAUCCAGCUCACUUGAAUGGAGGCACUCAAGAGAACAAGAUGUUUGCAUGUUGUGUCCCAACUUUCCGAAGCUCUGGCUUCUAGAAAUCUGACGAGAGCCUUUGUAGACAUUGAUUCAACUCUCACCUCUAACACCUCUGGCCUUUUGGCAGGAGGAACCCUCAGGCAACACAGGGCAACCCAGGGCAGGCCGCUCCAGGUCAGGUCACAACUGUGCUCCCACCUGGCCAGCCCCACACCCCUUGAUGCUCAAGGUGUGUGUGUGUGUUUGGGAGGUGCACUUAGGAAAGGUGGGGAUGAGGAGGGACACAUCCCGGGUAGGAGCAGGUAGUGAGAUGUUGGAAGUCUGGCAAUGGGUCAUCUUCAUACCCCACAUCUUGGCUGGCAGGGUAGGAAGUUGAGUGCUGGGGACCGAGCUCCUUUAUCCCUAUGUGAAUCCCAAGCCCACCAGGUGUCAUCACAUUCCAGCCCUGGCUGGAGGUCUAUGCAGGUGCCCCUCUGAGCCUGAUCUGUGGUGCGGGUUCCCCCUGGUGAGGUCCAGGCAGGCCCCUGAUCCCUCCUGGUCUUUCUCCCAGGCACUGUGUUUGCAGAGCUGCACCCACAAGAUGGUCACAUAGUUAGUGAAUGGUUUCGACUAUGCCGUCUCCCUGGACAGGGGGCGGGUGCUCCAGGCCACCAACAAUGACCCGGGCCGGGCUUAGUGCAGAGGGGUCUUCACACCCAGGACCCUGAGAUGACCGAGGCAGUACCAGAAUCCAGACCCAAAUCUGAGACUCCCCUGAGAUGCUCCCAGUGUUUUCUCACUAGAGUGUCCCACAGUCCCACUCCCAAAGGAAUCACGACCUCCCCUCCUCCCCACCAGCUACAUAGGCAGAAAGAAAGUAACCUCCAUCCUCCUAGUGGUUCACGGUGAUGCCACUGAUUUUUUGUGUGUCCCUCCUCCUUCCACCCAGAGUGAAGAUGACCCCUUUGUGAAUUUAAAUGAGGCCUGCAGGUGGCGGUCCCUCCAGCAGACCUGAUGGAGACUGACAAAGUCCAUGGCACCAGCUUUCCUAGGUAGAAACAUCUCAAAUGUCACCACCUUUGUGUUCAACUACUCGGCCUUCAACACAUCCCACCAGGUCCUGGACCAGCUGUUUACUGGGUGACUGCCCACUGCCAGCUGUAAUUCUUGUAAUGUCACUGCAUCUCCCUGAGCCUCACUUUGCUCCUCUGAAAAGUGGGGUGGGAGAGGAUAAACGUCAUGGGGUUCUUGGAGGGACUAAUGGGAUCAGCCAUGGCGGGUGCUGACCUGGUGCCUGGCUCUGCAGAUGUGGCUGUGGGGUGAGCUGUGGUUGUUCAUGGUUAUUAUUGGUUCUUCCUCAUGGAAAGUAGUCUGUCUCACCCGUCUCUGGGAUGUGGUCUUUCUGAGUUUGGCAAAGCACACGGACAGCACCCUGUCAAGGAGUUUGAGAUUCCAGAGAGAUGGUCCUGGUCCUUGUGCUUGGUGGGGCCAAUUAGGGAUGUCUGGGGAGCAGAGGGGCCCCAGGCCCACUCCGACAUCUGGGAUGCUUCUGGCUGGACUUCAUUCAUUCAACCAUGUAUGUGAAGCACCUACUAUGUGCAGGAUUUUUGGAGACACUUAGCAUAACUCAGUGAAUCCAGGUGUCCAACAGAUACAAUCCCUGCGUCUCAGUUGUAGUCUGAGAGUCAAAUAGUCACAUUAGACAUCAUUCGCAAGUCCUGUCAUCCAUCGCACAUCCCAAAUGGUGCUCUCGUCACCUCCUUUACAUCUGGAGGCAUCUUCCAUUAUCAAAACCAGGAGGGCAGACCACAGGAUGCCGGAAUAAAAUGAGUGGCCUCUGGGUCCAGAAGGAGGGCGCCCUGUCUCUACAGAACAGGGUUGGGGGAAAUGGGGGACUGUGGCUGGGGCCAGGCUGGCAAAACCCUGCAUCUCACACAUGUUUUGAUUCUCACUGGAAGGCUGAGGUCUGAUGGCUUCCAUUCCAGGAGGUCAGGAUUCAAAGACCUGUAGAUGGGUCCCAGGACCCCUGGGAACCAGAGUGGAGGCUGGGCUGGGCUGUCCCCUAGAGACCCAUCCCCACCAUAGUCCUAUCUUGAUCUGCCUCCCCUUCUCCACAUCCACUUCUUCGGACCACCCCCAGCAGGCCCAGAACAGGAGGUGUGUGAGCAACAUGGUCACACGUCUGCCUCAGUCCUCAGUCCAGUUGCAUAAAUGCAUGGAGGGCUGGGGUGGGCUUUGUCCAAGCCCUUCAGGAAGAGAGUGUCAGUGGGAAGAACAGACUCACACUGACUCUGUGUUCAACUUGCUGGUUGAGCAGUCCUGCCACCACCAGGACAGCCACACAGGGGCGGGACUGGGCCGGGGCUCUCCUCUGGAUGGGAAUGGGCGGGCACAGGGGCCCAGACCAAAUAAGGGCGCCUUCAGUGGGCAGUGUGGAGGGAAAGACCAGGCCUCUGACUCUGUUGCCCAAUGCCUUCCCCCAUUGCCGUCUCUUCGCAGAUGAAGCUGGCCCGUGUGCACGUGAGCUCGCCUACCUCAGAGCAGGAGGGCCACGCCUCCCUCCUCCCAGUCCAGCUGGAGUCCUCCAGAGCCCGUGGAGGCAGAGCUGGAAGGUGAGGGCCCUGCAGUGUGGGAAGACGAUUUGCAGGGGGUUCACGGGCUGGGUUCCCUUAAGGCAUUGGGGUCCUUCCUGUCUUUGGAAAGACUCAGGGGAGGUCAUCUACUUGAUGAUACUUUUUCUUUAUGCUGCUCCAGGACCAUCUCCAGAGCUCCCACCAGCUCCAGAGCCAGAGCAAGGGCCAGCUCCAUGGCCUGGGCCAACUCCAAUUCUAGUUCUACCACCUGUGCUAGAGCUGGAGCAAGUGUCACCUCCAUCAGUCCCCCCAGGGCCAGAGCCAUGCCAACAACAGCUCCAGCCCCAGUGCCAGAUCCAGCUGGAGCCCGCUGGACCCUUGUCUCCAGGGAGAACACUUCCUCCAUCUGGAGAGAUUACAUCAGAGCCCAUCCAGCCCAAGAGCCCACCUGCCCCCGGGCUGUGACCACCAAGAGCCUGCUGUGGGAGGAGAAGCCUGACUUCCUGGAGUUCCGUCCCCAGCUGAUUGCAGAGCAAUUUACACUGAUGGAUGCGGUGAGCAGCAGGGCUCUCAGGGCAGGUGGGGCGGGCCUUCCCUGUGCCAUCAGAGGCCCAAGACCUGCUGUUUCCUGAUCCAGAAUCCCAUGUCCUACAUUCAAUCCCAGCUUUCCCACUUACACACAUGUGCCCUGGGCAACCUCUUAACUCCCAAGCCUGUGCUGUCCGCAUGUGGACACUAGACAUGGACAAAAGAGCAUCUGCCAGGCAUAGCGGCUGUGCAGACGAAUGAGGCGGAACAGAGAGGAAGGUGGGCAGAGUCUGGCCCUUUGGCGGGGGAAGGGGAGGUCACUGAAGGGCUGUCAGGUCCUUGGGUGGGUCAUCCAUUUGCACAGGAGGCAUCAACAGCCUUAGCAAUUAUUAGGGACCUCAUAUGUAAUGACUACCUGGGAGACAAACAUACAAAGAUUGUGAUUGUUACUCCUUGGGAGGACUGCACAUCUGAAUGAGGAGUCGGGCCCCAGGGUGAUCAGAAAAGGUAGACGAUGCCCCUUGCGUUCGUCAAGUAUCAGCGGGGUUCUGGUGCCUGGAGUAGUGAGACUGGGCUGGGAGCGAAUGCCACUUUCCUUCCCCGCACUAUUGGUCCUGGGUCAUCCUGUGCUGGGUGCCCUCAGUGGGCACAGACAAAACCCAGGGACCCCCACAAGCCCCAGGCCACAUCCUCAGCUUCCUGAGCUCCAGCUCUGACCACUGACUCUGCCUGGGACUGUGGACUGUGGACAUGGAGCAGGCAUGUGACAGGGCUGGGUGACACUCUCUUCCUCCCCAGGAGCUGUUCAAGAAAGUGAUCCCCCCCACUGUCUGGACUCCGUCUGGUCCCCAUGGGACAGCAGGGGCAAUGAGCACCUGGCAUGCACCAUCCGUGCCACCAUCACCCAGUUUAUCACAGUGGUCAACUGUGUUGUCACCACCUGCCUGGGGGACCUGAGCAUGACAGCCCAGGACAGGGCCAGGGUGGUGGAGCUCUGGAUCCAGGUGUCCAAGGUACCUUCUGGGCGGCCCAGGGAGCCCCUCUCUGGAGUCAUGGAAACUGCCCCUUCUCCUUCCUCAGCUCUCAGGAUUGAAGUCUGUGCUCUGAGCCCUUGCACAGUCCCCAGGCCCCUCCUGCCGGGGCCUCACUGACCUUGACUCCUGUUCCCAGCGUGGGAAGCUCACUUCUUCCUGGGCUCCCUCCUUGGGUUGAGCUCAAAUUCUCCAACCUGGGAAUGCUACUCAUCAGGUCCCAGGGGUGCCCUCACUGGGUUCCUCAGCAUGCGUCUCAUCCAAGACAGGAGAUGUCCAUGAGGGAACAGAAGCCAGAGGCAGCAGGGCUCCAGCUCUCCUCACCAGCUCACUCUCUUCCCUGCCCCAGGAGUGCCAAGGCCUGAGGAACUUUGCUUCACUGCAUGCCAUCCUCUCUGCUCUGCAGAGCUGCACGAUCCAUCGGCUCAAAAAGACAUGGGGACACGUUUCCAGCAACAGAACUCUCCGUCCGGCUGAAACCACGACUGUUGAAAACACAUCUGCUGAGGAGUUACAGGAAUGGAGGCCCAGGUUUUCAUUCCUUUUCCCCCCUCGGGAAGAGCUCUCAAAAAUUUUACAAAAUUGUGCACCAAGGACCAGCGGGUGAGCAGGAAGCUGCUCAUGGAGGAAGCCAGGCCCCUGCUGCUCCUUCUGUCUUUGCUGCACGUCCAAGGACAGGGCACCCUGCCAGCCCCUGAGGUGGGCACUGCGUGGUCCCAUGGGCCAGGUGGACAUGAGGGCUGCCCAGCAUGGGAUGAAUGGUGGACCUGGGACAGAACUGUGUGCUCUCUGGGACUCCCCACUGUGCCCUGAUAGUGGUCACUGCUGACAUACCCAGUGGGGUUCUCACCUGCUGCCUUGUUGGCAGGGCACAUGCCCCAGAUGGCAAUGAGAGUAUCAGGGGAUCCAAUAGAUUCUUCGUGGACCUUCCUGACUGGAUGUUAGAAGUUUCCAAGAACAAAAAGGAAGCAAAUGUCACCAUCAACCAGUGCCCUGGUCACCCCGUAACUGUCACUCAGAUGUGGCACUAGGGGUCACCUUCCUGAGUGGAUGAAAAGAGAGUUGUGUUCAGGGGAACGUCCUGAGGGAUCCUAGGGAGCUGAGGCCUUUGGCAUCGCCUCAGGUAUAGCCUGGGGUCAGAGAAUCCCAGGGGGCUGGGACAGGUAGAUGCCACUUGGACAGGCCCUCUGAGACACCCUGCCCCUUGUCAUCCAUGGCUCAGCCUGGCUGAGGGUCUGCUCACACCCUGAGAGUCCAGAGGACAUGACCAUGUUCAGAGGUGUGUCUGUAGGUGGGGUGAAGGCAGAUGGACAGGGCCUCUGGCUGGGAGGGGAAGGGGUCUCUCCUCUGUGGGCCUCUGAGCAAGUCAAGCCCCUCUGUGAGCCUCGGUCUCCCCAUGUGGGACGUGGAGGGAGGUGAUCUGUGGUUCAAGCCCCACAAACGGGGGAUGAGGUUCAAGGGAGGAGAGGAAUGUGCAGGAGCUGUGUGCCGCCUCCUCCUCGAGGGGUGAGGGGAGAGCAGUGAUGACAGUCAGAUGACACUGAGUCCUCAGGAGGCCCUGGGAGGCAGGUGGAGUUCUCCUCACCCUUUCCAGAUGAGGAGAGAGGCUGAGGGGCCUGGGCAGGCCCAAGGCCACAGAGGAGCAAGUGUUGGAGCUGGGACUGAUCGAGAAUCAGAGCAUCUGGAAAACGGAGCAGCCACACACACGAGAUGUCCAGGGUCCAAGAUCAAGGGCCUGGGACACAUGCGGAAGGGAGCAUGGCCUCCCUGACCUUGUCCUUGACGCUGCAGGAAGCGACCUCUCUGUGGGAGACCCUGGAGAUGGAUCCCUGGAUAGCCCAGGAGAGGCAGCAGUGGCAGGUGAGGGUGCCUGUGGUGGGGAGGAGGGGUCCAUGUGUUCGAGGAGAGGGUGCUCCACCCUCACAGCUGGAGGCCUCCACCAAGAGAGGGGUCCCUCCUCCUCCAGCCCAGCUCCUGGCCAUGCAGAGCCUGAACCGGCUGCAUUAGAAGUGAGCAGGAGGAGGCCUGGCAGGGCUGGCCCAGGAGGGACUUGGGGUGGGGAGGAGCAGGGACCACAUUCCCUGGGAUCUGCAUAAAGCCAAGCCUGGGAGGUGACAGGGGAGAUUGGUGUUCCUGGAGGGGGCUCCUGGGGGAGACUGCUGAGGGUCCUGGGCUGCUCUAUGUGGGAGUCCGGGGUGGGCAGGAGGCUGGGGUGAGGGUUUUGGGGGGAGGGUCCCAUGGGGGCACAUGAAAGCCGGGACUCAUCACCAUUCCCACCCUGAUGGCUCAGGGUGUCGUCCCCUUCCUGGGCUCACUCCUCGAUUACCUGCAGCUGCUGGACACUGAGAUGGAGGAUUAUCUGAAGGAGUGUGAGCAUGGAGAGGGGAACAGGGAAGAGGAUCCAGAGGUUUGGGAGGCGAGAGCCCUGCACUGGGCCCUGAGCUCUCAGCACUUGGCAAAGCUCCUCUCCUGAGAACCUCCUGGCAGCCCCUGGAGCUGGGGCCUCAGGCACAUCUUAGCAAUGUGAGACCCAAGGCUCUGCAUAAGCCCCCCUCCAGGCUCCCUGGGCUGGGGGAGCUCAGAGCUGCCUCACUACAGAGCUGCGGGAGGUGGUGUCAGAGCUGGACUCAGCCUCUCCCUCAAGCCCUGCCCCUGGGGGAGUGAAGUCAGCCCCUGCAAGUCAGGAAGCACAUCCGUGGUCCAGCUGUCCCUUCCUUUCUGAGGGCUCAGUCUCCCUGUCUGUCAUCAGAGAGGUUGGAGCUACAGAGUCUGUGGCCUCAGUGACCCUGCCCCCCCUGCGCUGGAGCCCAGAGCCUGGCCCAGGUUCAGGCUCUCCUUGAGGCAGUGUCUGCCCUCUGCUGGGUCCUGGCAGUCCUGCAACUUGGGAAGGGGUGGGCUGGGGGCUAGUCAUGGGCCAAGGGGGCUGUUUCUGAUGGACAUUGGCUGUCUGCCUUCGAGGGAAAUAUGGUGAACUUCCAGAAAUGGAGUGAGGUGAGCAGCCGUGCCCUCGAUGUGGGGAGGGUGGGGCUGUGGAAAUCAGAGACCUCCCCUGCAAGACUUUCUCUGGCCUCAUCCCUUGGGUCUUAUCUUUAUUGCGAGAGUUAGAUACAGGCAGCUGGGGAUCCCAUCACAUUGGUGGGUGGGAGGAGGGGCUGACAUCGAGGACACCUUCCUGGAUGAGGAACUAUUUCAACCCUACUGUGAGAACAGGCAAGUCCUGAAUGGAGUGGGAGGGAAGGAGGGUUCCCAAUGAGCAAAGACCCCAGAGCAGCUCCUCACUACCCACAAGUUCCUGGCUGGGUUCCCCCCAGGCCCUGUCUGCAUCCUGUCCUUCCUCCCAGAAAUUCCAGGUCAUUAAAAGGAUCCAGCUGCUCCAGGAGGCUGCCAAUGAAUGCCACCUGCAGCCCGAGGAGCACUUUGGGGCCUGGUUCCAGGCCAUGGAGCCCCUCCAUGAGGAAGAGAGCUACAGCCUGUCCUGCCAGCUGGAGCCCCCAAACAUGAAGGUGAGCAAAAUGCGAGGCUUCUUCAGGACCAAGAAGAACCGGCCAUCCUCAAGAUUGGGGCUGACUGCCAUGCCCUUGGCAAGGAGCCAUCACACUCUAGAUGCCACCACAAGCUCAGCCUCUUCAGGCGCAGGGACAUGGCUGGGACCCUCGUGGUGCACCAGGCCAGCUCUUCCCACCCGGAUGUGAAGGAGGACAUUCCUGGGAGUUGUGGUGUGGUUCAACUCCUGUGCUCAUAUAAAUGAGACACAGAACUUCACCUUCCUCCUUGAAUUAAGAACUGGUGCACGGUCACAGCUCAUUGUAUGUGGGACAAGGGAGGAAGGCCAGCCCCCUCCCUGGCAAGUUAAGGACCACCCAAGUCUCCCUUCCUUAGAGGACAGGUUCGUUUCAGUGUGGUUCCCCUGGGCCAGGAGUGGAGACAGCCCCUCAGAUCCCCCUGGAUUUAGAGGCCGGAGGGACUUUCCCAGCAGAGCAACCAGCACAGAAAUGUGGGUCUUUCAGAUGGCACUUGCCAGGACCAUGUCCUGCCCCGGGACAGUGGCUGCCUUUCUACAGCUUUUGAAGAAGGAAUGUUUUCUGCUUCUCUUGUGGAGCUUUCUUUUGAUCAAGUUUUGGAACGUGUAGUUUUCUAAUGAAUCUCUGGAAUUGCACUAACAGUAAAUGGGGAAAAAAUGUAAACAGAUAACUCUUUGCAUGUGGAAAGGACAAGGCCAGAGGAAGACCAUUUGCAGACGGACUAAGGGCAGGCAGGACAUCCCUCUGCAGGCCGCCUCUAGGGGCUCCCUGUUCACCCUUUACCUGGAUUGGACUCCUCCCGGGAUCCUGGUCCAUGAACUUGCAGGUCCUUUUCCUGCUUGUUUCCUAUCCAGAGGGAAAGAUUUGUGAUGCAGCUUUUAAAGCUACAACAGGGCUUUGUUGCAUAAGCGUCACUGCUCCCUGUGAACUAGAUUUCCAGCAUCCCUGCACUUCCUUCUACAAUUCUUUUUGGGCAGAAAUUCCCUAAGGCCCCAGCCUCUCUGUCAGGAACAUCGUGGCCAUUCCUACCUAGCCAGGCCUGAUGGAUCAGCCGUGAGCUCUGGUUUGCCCAGGAUAACGGACCUUAAUCCUGGGCAGUGCAUGACCCACACUCUCCCUUGCUGCCCAGGGUCCCAUGUGGUUCUGAGGUUCAUGCUCUCGGACAAACAAUAGUUUACACGCUCAGUCUUAUUGUUACCAGCUUGACCUAAAGGGUCAUCUGGGCUCAAUCCUAUAGAGCUUCUAGCCCCCAGGAUGGCUGUGUUCUUUUCCCCAGUCUUGUGCUGUGGUUAUGUGGUUAUGUGUUAUGGGGAUGUGAAACUUUCCUGUUGGGAGUUUUGAAAGAUAAGGCAUGAGAGGUGCCAGUAUAGAGAUGGGUCUAGCAGGGGAAUGCCACCAAACUGAUGAACAUGGGCCUACACACAACAACCUUACCAAUUCAAAUACUGAAACGCUUCCCAUCUGGGUAGUGAAGAUAUGAGCUCACCCUGAGAACCCGCCUCAUGACCAGGAGCUACAGGGUUAUCACCUGGCAUUUUGAACGUCAUCCCCUGAAACACUGUAAGACAAGGGCCACAUGAAUUCCUUGGUAGUUCUUCCUCCUCCUCGCUGAAGGCUGCAAGUGUCACCCUGGGAGGCCCUUUCAGUUCAGCCACAAGCCGAGUAUAAAUCCCGCUUCCGGCAGCCCAGGCCCUUCCUGACAGGGCACAGCCAUCCAGGAAAGAAAUAAUUCACAUAUUGGUGUAGACACAUAAACACACACACGCAUAUCCCACCCAAAGCCCAAGAUGCAUGAACUUCAGAGAUGAAAAGUGACUUCAGAAACAGAUCAACCAAUUGCAAACGAAGGGUUUCAUUAAGAUCCUGACUCAAAUAAAAUGUAAAACCAAGAAACAACCUGGAGAAAACUGGGAGACUUUGGAGGCUGACUAGGUAGUUGAUUAUAGGAGUGACAUUUUUACUUUUGUGUGUGAUAACUUUGUUGUGUUUGAGUCCCAAAAAUCUCUCAUCUGUAAGAGAAACUGAUAUAUUUACACCUGAAAUGAUGUGCUCUCGGCAUCUACAGCUGGCUAAUUCCAGGGGGUGGGUGUAAAGAUAAAGCCAGAUGGUUUAUGAGUUGACAAUCUCUGAUGCAAGUGACAGGUUCACAGAGGUUGAUUUUCCCUACUCUGAGAUUUGGAGAUUUUUGAAAACUUUCAGAAGACAAGUUUCAUAAAAAUAGUAUAAUCACUGUUCACAUUACAAUGUUAAAAAUGAAAACAUUGCAAAUAUGAAGAAAUGCUUCUUCUUCCCGACCUGGGGAAGCUCUGUCUGUCUGGCUUCUGUGAAUGACCUGAUGAUGCCACUGAUUAUUCAUUUAUCUCAUGUUUAUUGAAUAAGUACUAUGUGCUCUGUACUGCGAGCAAGGUGAAUGCAUUUCCACAUCUCCAGAUCUAGUGUGGGAAUGAAGGCACUGAGCCGGCUGCCAAGAUUCUCUACGUGGAAAAUAAUGCCCCACGGGGCAUGGUCAUUGUUAAGAUUCCAAAAUCAAAGCUAGACAAGUUUGCCAUGGAACAAAUCAGAGGUACUUAAUUUAUGAUAUAGAAAUUACCUAUGUCUGAAUUAACAUGUGACAAAGGCUGAAGGAUUUUGUUAAAAUUAGAUGCAAAAUCAUAAUUUAUGAAAUCAGAUUUCAUAUCACAUUAAGAGAUAAAUCUCAUUGAGUAGGUAUUAUCUGUUCAUUGAGUGUAGAAAAAACAAAUGUAAGUUCAAAACACUAAUUCCUCAGCCUCAAUUAUCCUAUUGAUUUUAAUAUAAACAGGAAGAAAAAUCAUGGUAAAUAAAAAUCGAGGUUACCCAUGAAAGGUAAGGAUCAUGAUGGAUGUUACAAAGAGAUGCUGUGGGGGUCAAGGCUGUCUCCUGGUGGAUUUCUCACUGCACCACUCUCCUUUCCUUCAGCACCAAUAUCGCUUUCCUCACGGUGUUUUCAGGUGCCUUUCUUGGCUCUUGCUCUCUCUGCCUCCCUGGCAAACUCCUCUGUUCUCAAGCCAACAGUCAGUCUUUCCCAUGCUUUUCUUCACUUGCAACAUCUGUCUCCUAAUAUCUCCAGAAGUUGCCUGUUGCCUGUUGCCUGCAGAGGGGCUGGGAGAGACCCAGACCCGUUCCUGGACUCAUCUCUGCCCAAUACGGACACUGGUCAGGAGUGGGCUAGGGUUGGUGUGCAGAUCCCUCAGCUCAAGCCAUGGCCCAGGGAUUCACCUAGACCACCUGGUGCAAUUAUCUUUAAGAUAUUUGUGAAUCAGAAGGACUUAAAAGUUCUCCUUCGCUGCUGCCAGCCUUGAGGCCCUGCAGUCUCUCCUCUCCACAGACUCACCGGGGCUUCUCCAAGGUCUCCUCCCACUGACGGCCCCUGACCUCACGGCCAGGAUGGGAAGUUAUCCGACUACCUGGCCUCUGGAAUAUGCAGCUGCUCAGCCUUCAGUGUGUACAGAGCUGCAGGUUUCUGCUUGGUUUUAGUUUUGUUGUCUCAUUGUUUCCACCAUGAAAUUGGGGCAUAUUUUUUGAACUUUCUCUUUAAAAAUAAAAUGUGAAAUUUGAACAAAAUGGGGGAUGAAGACUACCAUCCAUGGAGAAUGUUCUCAGCUCAUUUGGCUAUUCCACCCUCCUUCCCUCCCUGGAGAAUGUGUCUCAAAUGUGAAUCACAACCAUCUGGAGGGUUUUUAAAACUCAGAUUGCUGGACCUCAACUCAAGUCAAUCUGGGGUGGGAAUGGAGAAUGUUCAUUUCUAAGAUGUUCCCAGGUGACAUUGAUGCUGCUAGUAUAGGUACCACAUGUUGAGAAUGGGAUUCUGGGACAUCAUCAAGCCCAUGUGAGACAAGGACAGAAAGUUCAAGGUCAUUAUCCAAUGUCAAAUCCAGACAAACCUCCCUCCUCCAUCUUGCUUCAGGAUGUUACUCUCUCCCCUUCUCCGUCAUUGUCAACUACACACAUUCUGGUACCAAGUAACCCACUAUCAUUAGGACUCAGUGAUCCAAGGGCCCCGUAGCUCCUUUUAGAGUGCCAUCUCUAAUGAAAUCACGCACUAUUCCACCCUUAGACACCCUCACUCCACAGCAAAAUCCUGUCUUAACCCCAAAUUCUCCUGCUCACAAAUCAGGAACUCAAACAGCACAUUCCUACCACAAAUUUCCACAGUUCCUGUUUUUACACAAAGAACCCUAAUGUAAAUAACCAACCUUCAAGAAAACAGUUUACUCCAGUAUGAAUAUCUUCACAAGGCUCUCUUCUUUCUCUCUUCCUAUUCCUUUCUUUCAAUCUUGGUUUCUGUGGUCCAUCAUUUCAAUCAUCCACUGACCAUGCUCCCAGAUUCAUCACUCCCAUCACAUUGGCCCUGUAAGCCUCUGACUUUGGAUAAUUUCAAAUACCUGCCAUGCCACGUUGACACCUGCACUGAGGAUCACCAGCGAAGAGAGAGCACACGAGGAGUCUGUGG
rnacentral:lncRNA from 1 species